rnacentral:rRNA from 1 species
UUGACCUCAAAUCAGGUAGGGAUACCCGCUGAACUUAAGCAUAUCAAA